rnacentral:rRNA from 1 species
GACGAACGCUGGCGGCGUGCCUAAUACAUGCAAGUAGAACGCUGAAGAGAGGAGCUUGCUCUUCUUGGAUGAGUUGCGCACGGGUGAGUAACGCGUAGGUAACCUGCCUUGUAGCGGGGGAUAACUAUUGGAAACGAUAGCUAAUACCGCAUAACAAUGGAUGACACAUGUCAUUUAUUUGAAAGGGGCAAUUGCUCCACUACAAGAUGGACCUGCGUUGUAUUAGCUAGUAGGUGAGGUAAUGGCUCACCUAGGCGACGAUACAUAGCCGACCUGAGAGGGUGGUCGGCCACCCUGGGACGGAGACACGGCCCAGACGGCUACGGGAGGCGGCAGGAGGGAAUCUUCGGCAAUGGGGGCAACCCUGACCGAGCAGCGCCGAGGGAGGGAAGAAGGUUGUCGGAUCGGAAAGCUCGGUUGUCAGUCAAGAACGCGUGUGAGAGUGGAAAGUUCACAGUGUGACGGUAGCUGAUCAGAAAGAAACGGCUAACUACGUG